rnacentral:rRNA from 1 species
ACUCCUACGGGAGGCAGCAGUAGGGAAUCUUCCACAAUGGGCGCAAGCCUGAUGGAGCAACACCGCGUGAGUGAAGAAGGGUUUCGGCUCGUAAAGCUCUGUUGUUAAAGAAGAACACGUAUGAGAGUAACUGUUCAUACGUUGACGGUAUUUAACCAGAAAGUCACGGCUAACUACGUGCCAGCAGCCGCGGUAAUACGUAGGUGGCAAGCGUUAUCCGGAUUUAUUGGGCGUAAAGAGAGUGCAGGCGGUUUUCUAAGUCUGAUGUGAAAGCCUUCGGCUUAACCGGAGAAGUGCAUCGGAAACUGGAUAACUUGAGUGCAGAAGAGGGUAGUGGAACUCCAUGUGUAGCGGUGGAAUGCGUAGAUAUAUGGAAGAACACCAGUGGCGAAGGCGGCUACCUGGUCUGCAACUGACGCUGAGACUCGAAAGCAUGGGUAGCGAACAGGUA